rnacentral:sRNA from 1 species
AUUUAGCCCAGAUGGAAGUGAAAAUCCUCAGGUGGCGGUGUUCGCCGCCUGAGAUUGUAACGUACAGCUGGAAAUAGC